ACGGGUGAGUAAUGUCUGGGAAACUGCCUGAUGGAGGGGGAUAACUACUGGAAACGGUAGCUAAUACCGCAUAACGUCGCAAGACCAAAGAGGGGGACCUUCGGGCCUCUUGCCAUCAGAUGUGCCCAGAUGGGAUUAGCUAGUAGGUGGGGUAACGGCUCACCUAGGNGACGAUCCCUAGCUGGUCUGAGAGGAUGACCAGCCACACUGGAACUGAGACACGGUCCAGACUCCUACGGGAGGCAGCAUG
rnacentral:rRNA from 1 species